rnacentral:lncRNA from 1 species
GGCUGGUUACCAAGGUUACCGCCGAGAGGCCGCGUCCUCAGCUGGUCCUAGACAUGCGUGGCGUCGGGGCUGUGGCACGGUCGGGUCCGGGGACACUUGUUUAACAAGACAUCUGCCCAUGUCCCUGGCCCAUCUCAUUGGCUGCAGCACAUCACAGUGGACCUUCUGCCUCCUCCCAGAUGCCCAGGGACAGUGAUCUGGAAGGAAGGGGCUUGAGGCUGUUUUCCUAGAACUCGACUUGAAUGCACCAAGGAAAGGCCAUUUGUGGGGACAUAGCAAGAAGGCAGCUGUCUGCAAGCCAGGAGGAGAACCCUCACCAGAAACCUCACAGAAAUCGGCCAACACCCUCAUCUCGGGCUUCCAGCUUCAGAACAACGAGAAAACAAAUUUCUGUUGUGUCCUGGUUCCCAUUUGUAAUUGGCACCCUAAUGAAACCGUUUUCUGUAGCCCUGGAAAUGGCUGAAAAUGAGGGGAGGGAAAUAAAGUGCUAUAAUUCAGAGCAUGGAGCACACCUUCCUGGUUCACCUGAGCUGGAUUCGGAGAGGUAAAAUGGCCAUUACCUCGUCUAAGCUGCCACUUACAGACACAGUACAGGAUGAGGCCCAGACCCACAGAGACAACGAUGAUGGCCACAGCUAAGAUGAUCCAGAAAUUAUUCCUCCACCAGCUCAUUGCAGUGGAAUCCUGAGAAGAAUGGAGAGAGAAGAAUGAGGCUUCUGAAAAGCUUCCAAGAGAUGUUGCAUGCAAAAGAGCUCUGUGUGCAGAAGAUCACCAAGCAUGAGGCAUUAUUAAGGGCAAACCAACCAAGUUCUAUUUACAAUAGCAAGUGUCUUCUAAGAAGGGCAGCUACCGACCAGGAGAGUCCCCUAUUCUCCCUGCAGAGGAUCUGCAGAUCUGCAAAGCUGGCUGGGUUAGGAAUGAAGUUUGCUGGUAGGAACUGGGGAAUGUUGAAUUCCUCUGGGUUAUAGAAGGGGAGAAUUUGGAGUUCUGGGAGGGAAGGUGAUGAGAAGAAGGGAUGGAAAGAUGAAAAGGGAAGCCAGCAGGAUGGUGCAAAGGUGGGAGUGAACCCGAGGGCUAGAUUAGGCCUGCAGAACUUAACCUACCUUACUUGAUUUUAGUCACUUGCUUCUAGUUGAUCUUAAAACCUAUAUAGCUACUGGGGGCAGUGGCUCACACUUGUAAUCCCAGCACUUUGGGAGGCCGAGGCUGGAGGAUCACUUGAGCCCAGGAGUUCAAGACCAGCCUAGGCAACACAGCGAGACUUUCUCUCUACUGAAAAUAAAAACAAAACAAAACAAAACAAAACAAAACCAGAUGUGGCGGCAUGUGCCUGUAGUCCCAGAUACUCAGGAGGCUGAGGUGGGAGGAUGGCUUGACUCUAGGAGAUUGAGGCUGCAGUGAGCUGUGAUUACCAUCAGUGCACUCUAGCCUGGGUUAUAGAGUGAGACCCUGUCUUUAAAAAAGAAAAAAGCCUAUAGAGCUAAAAGUCAUGUAGCUAAGCAAUAUUUAACUGGACUUCCACUAGCUUCCUGCUGGAUAACAUCUCUGACAUAUAGGUCAUCAUAGUAAUGGUUGUUUAAGUUGUUUUUCAAGGGCUGGGCACGGUGGCUCACGCCUGUAAUCCCAGCACUUUGGGAGGCCAAGGUAGGCAGAUCACCUGAAGUCAGGAGUUCGAGACCAGCCUGGCCAAGAUGGUGAAACCCCGUCUCUACUAAAAAUACAGAAAUUAGCCUGGUGUGGUGGCAGGCGCCUGUAAUCCCAGCCACUCGGAAGGCUGAGGGAGAAUCAUUUGAACCCAGGAGGUAGAGGUUGCAGUGAGCCUCCAGGAUCACGCCAUUGCACUCCAGCCUGAGUGACGAGAGUGAAACUCCAUCUCAAAAAA